rnacentral:rRNA from 1 species
AGGACGAACGCUGGCGGCGUGCCUAACACAUGCAAGUCGAGCGGAAAGGCUCCUUCGGGAGUACUCGAGCGGCGAACGGGUGAGUAACACGUGGGUAAUCUGCCCAAGACACAGGAAUAACCAGUGGAAACGCUGGCUAAUGCCUGAUGAUGUGCCGGCCCCUCGGGGCUAGUACCAAAGGUAGCUUCGGCCUCCGGUCUUGGAUGAGCCCGCGGCCCAUUAGCUAGUUGGUGAGGUAACGGCUCACCAAGGCGACGAUGGGUAGCUGGUCUGAGAGGACGAUCAGCCACACUGGGACUGAGACACGGCCCAGACUCCUACGGGAGGCAGCAGUGGGGAAUCUUGCGCAAUGGGCGAAAGCCUGACGCAGCAACGCCGCGUGCGGGAAGAAGGUCUUCGGGUUGUAAACCGCUUUCAGCAGGGACGAAGGCGACUGGGUUAAUAGCCCAGGAGUUGACGGUACCUGCAGAAGAAGGUCCGGCUAACUACGUGCCAGCAGCCGA